GCUAACUGGGAUAGCUCAGUCAGUAGAGCAGGAGACUCUUCAUCUCAGGGUCAUGGGUUCGAGUUUCAUGUUGGGCA